rnacentral:rRNA from 1 species
UACAGAGGUCCCAAGCGUUGUUCGGAUUCUUUGGGCGUAAAGGGUGCGUAGGUGGCGCGCUAAGUCGGGUGUGAAAUUUCGGAGCUUAACUCCGAAACUGCAUUCGAUACUGGUGUGCUUGAGGACUGGAGAGGAGACUGGAAUUCAUGGUGUAGCAGUGAAAUGCGUAGAGAUCAUGAGGAAGACCAGUGGCGAAGGCGGGUCUCUGGACAGUUCCUGACGCUGAGGCACGAAGGUCAGGGGAGCAAACGGG